rnacentral:rRNA from 1 species
CCUACGGGAGGCAGCAGUGGGGAAUAUUGGGCAAUGGGCGCAAGCCUGACCCAGCAACGCCGCGUGAAGGAAGAAGGCUUUCGGGUUGUAAACCUCUUUUUAUAGGGAAGAGCAGAAGACGAUACCUCCUGAAUAAGCUACGGCUAACUACGUGCCAGCAGCCGCGGUAAUACGUAGGUCGCAAGCGUUGUCCGGAUUUACUGGGUGUAAAGGGCGUGUAGCCGGGCUGACAAGUCAGAUGUGAAAUUCCGGGGCUCAACCCCGGACCUGCGUUUGAAACUGUUGGUCUUGAGUAUCGGAGAGGCAGGCGGAAGUCGUGGUGUAGCGGUGAAAGGCGUAGAUAUUAGGAGGAACACCGGUGGCGAAGGCAGCCUGCUGGACGACAACGGACGGUGAGGCGCGAAAGCGUGGGGAGCAAACAGGAUUAGAUACCCGGGUAGUC